CCUACGGGAUGCAGCAGUAGGGAAUCUUCGGCAAUGGACGAAAGUCUGACCGAGCAACGCCGCGUGAGUGAAGAAGGUUUUCGGAUCGUAAAACUCUGUUGUUAGAGAAGAACAAGGACGUUAGUAACUGAACGUCCCCUGACGGUAUCUAACCAGAAAGCCACGGCUAACUACGUGCCAGCAGCCGCGGUAAUACGUAGGUGGCAAGCGUUGUCCGGAUUUAUUGGGCGUAAAGCGAGCGCAGGCGGUUUCUUAAGUCUGAUGUGAAAGCCCACGGCUCAACCGUGGAGGGUCAUUGGAAACUGGGGGACUUGAGUGCAGAAGAGGAGAGCGGAAUUCCACGUGUAGCGGUGAAAUGCGUAGAGAUGUGGAGGAACACCAGUGGCGAAGGCGGCUCUCUGGUCUGUAACUGACGCUGAGGCGCGAAAGCGUGGGGAGCAAACAGGAUUAGAUACCCCCGUAGUC
rnacentral:rRNA from 1 species